CACUAUCCCCGAUAACAGUGGAAAUUCUUGUUGUUGAUUGCUGCUUUAAUAGCAAUCAACAACAAGAUUGCAACGGAUAGCGAGAAAUAGC
rnacentral:sRNA from 1 species